rnacentral:rRNA from 1 species
AUGCUCCAGCUGAAAGCUACGAGCCACAAGACGAGCUUUGUAAUGCCCAAGAGAACCAUCAGAGCGAGUCAUAACAGCUUUGUAACGCUCAAGAGAACCAUCAGAGCGAGUCUAGACCCACCAAGUGAUGGGACGAACACGGGGAAGAGAAACAAUAUCCCACUUGCCGAAGCGCUCAAGAGCAGCAAUCUCCUCUGCCAUCGCAGUGUGCCACUUGGUAUGAACAUCAUCACGAUAAGAAGUCGGCUCAAGAACAAUAGCGCCAGCGCUUGGAAGACCAAGGCGGUCAACAGGUGGAAGCAGACGAGGAAGCAAGCCAUAAGUAGGCCGAGAUGGGGAAGAUGGCACAUCAGUAGACGCAUCCACAACAUGCGGACAAUGUGUAUAAAAGUGAGGAAAAGAUGUAAGAAUAUGAGUUGGAAUCAUCGGGAUAAACUAAGGUGA